rnacentral:rRNA from 1 species
GAUGAACGCUAGCGGCAGGCCUAAUACAUGCAAGUCGAACGGUGUCUUCGGACAUAGUGGCGCACGGGUGCGUAACACGUAUGCAACCUACCUUAUAUUGGGGGAUAGCCUUUCGAAAGGGAGAUUAAUACCGCAUAAGACAGUAGCUGGGCAUCCAGCAGCUGUUAAAGAUUUAUCGAUGUAAGCUGGGCAUGCGUCCAAUUAGCUAGUUGGUGAGGUAACAGCUCACCAAGGCAAUGAUUGGUAGGGGAACUGAGAGGUCAAUCCCCCACACUGGCACUGAGAUACGGGCCAGACUCCUACGGGAGGCAGCAGUAGGGAAUAUUGGGCAAUGGACGCAAGUCUGACCCAGCCAUGCCGCGUGCAGGAUGAAGGCGUUAUGCGUUGUAAACUGCUUUUAUACAGGAAGAAACGACUCUUGCGAGAGGCAUUGACGGUACUGUAUGAAUAAGCACCGGCUAACUCCGUGCCAGCAGCCGCGGUAAGAC